rnacentral:tRNA from 1 species
CGGGGUGUGGCGCAGUUGGUAGCGUGCUUGACUGGGGGUCAAGAGGUCGCAAGUUCAAGUCUUGUCACUCCGACGA